GAGGGUUGCUGGAGGUAUCAGAAGUGCGAAUGCUGACAUAAGUAACGAUAAAGCGGGUGAAAAGCCCGCUCGCCGGAAGACCAAGGGUUCCUGUCCAACGUUAAUCGGGGCAGGGUGAGUCGACCCCUAAGGCGAGGCCGAAAGGCGUAGUCGAUGGGAAACAGGUUAAUAUUCCUGUACUUGGUGUUACUGCGAAGGGGGGACGGAGAAGGCUAUGUUAGCCGGGCGACGGUUGUCCCGGUUUAAGCAUGUAGGCUGGUUAUCCAGGCAAAUCCGGAUAAUCAAGGCUGAGGUGUGAUGACGAGGCACUACGGUGCUGAAGUAACAAAUGCCCUGCUUCCAGGAAAAGCCUCUAAGCAUCAGGUAACAUCAAAUCGUACCCCAAACCGACACAGGUGGUCAGGUAGAGAAUACCAAGGCGCUUGAGAGAACUCGGGUGAAGGAACUAGGCAAAAUGGUGCCGUAACUUCGGGAGAAGGCACGCUGGUGUGUAGGUGAAGUCCCUGCGGAUGGAGCUGAGACCAGUCGAAGAUACCAGCUGGCUGCAACUGUUUAUUAAAAACACAGCACUGUGCAAACACGAAAGUGGACGUAUACGGUGUGACGCCUGCCCGGUGCCGGAAGGUUAAUUGAUGGGGUUAUCCGUAAGGAGAAGCUCUUGAUCGAAGCCCCGGUAAACGGCGGCCGUAACUAUAACGGUCCUAAGGUAGCGAAAUUCCUUGUCGGGUAAGUUCCGACCUGCACGAAUGGCGUAAUGAUGGCCAGGCUGUCUCCACCCGAGACUCAGUGAAAUUGAACUCGCUGUGAAGAUGCAGUGUACCCGCGGCAAGACGGAAAGACCCCGUGAACCUUUACUAUAGCUUGACACUGAACAUUGAGCCUUGAUGUGUAGGAUAGGUGGGAGGCUUUGAAGCGUGGACGCCAGUCUGCGUGGAGCCAACCUUGAAAUACCACCCUUUAAUGUUUGAUGUUCUAACGUUGGCCCCUUAUCGGGGUUGCGGACAGUGUCUGGUGGGUAGUUUGACUGGGGCGGUCUCCUCCCAAAGCGUAACGGAGGAGCACGAAGGUUAGCUAAUCCUGGUCGGACAUCAGGAGGUUAGUGCAAUGGCAUAAGCUAGCUUGACUGCGAGCGUGACGGCGCGAGCAGGUGCGAAAGCAGGUCAUAGUGAUCCGGUGGUUCUGAAUGGAAGGGCCAUCGCUCAACGGAUAAAAGGUACUCCGGGGAUAACAGGCUGAUACCGCCCAAGAGUUCAUAUCGACGGCGGUGUUUGGCACCUCGAUGUCGGCUCAUCACAUCCUGGGGCUGAAGUAGGUCCCAAGGGUAUGGCUGUUCGCCAUUUAAAGUGGUACGCGAGCUGGGUUUAGAACGUCGUGAGACAGUUCGGUCCCUAUCUGCCGUGGGCGCUGGAGAAUUGAGGGGGGCUGCUCCUAGUACGAGAGGACCGGAGUGGACGCAUCACUGGUGUUCGGGUUGUCAUGCCAAUGGCACUGCCCGGUAGCUAAAUGCGGAAGAGAUAAGUGCUGAAAGCAUCUAAGCACGAAACUUGCCCCGAGAUGAGUUCUCCCUGAGACUAUAAGUCUCCUGAAGGAACGUUGAAGACGACGACGUUGAUAGGCCGGGUGUGUAAGCGCAGCGAUGCGUUGAGCUAACCGGUACUAAUGAACCGUGAGGCUUAACCUU
rnacentral:rRNA from 2 species